rnacentral:rRNA from 1 species
AUUGAACGCUGGCGGCAGGCCUAACACUUGCAAGUCGAACGGUAACAGGAAGAAGCUUGCUUCUUUGCUGACGAGUGGCGGACGGGUGAGUAAUGUCUGGGAAACUGCCUGAUGGAGGGGGAUAACUACUGGAAACGGUAGCUAAUACCGCAUAACGUCGCAAGACCAAAGAGGGGGACCUUCGGGCCUCUUGCCAUCGGAUGUGCCCAGAUGGGAUUAGCUAGUAGGUGGGGUAACGGCUCACCUAGGCGACGAUCCCUAGCUGGUCUGAGAGGAUGACCAGCCACACUGGAACUGAGACACGGUCCAGACUCCUACGGGAGGCAGCAGUGGGGAAUAUUGCACAAUGGGCGCAAGCCUGAUGCAGCCAUGCCGCGUGUAUGAAGAAGGCCUUCGGGUUGUAAAGUACUUUCAGCGGGGAGGAAGGGAGUAAAGUUAAUACCUUUGCUCAUUGACGUUACCCGCAGAAGAAGCACCGGCUAACUCCGUG